rnacentral:rRNA from 1 species
GACGGUCUUGCUGUCACUUAUAGAUGGAUCCGCGCUGCAUUAGCUAGUUGGUAAGGUAACGGCUUACCAAGGCAACGAUGCAUAGCCGACCUGAGAGGGUGAUCGGCCACACUGGAACUGAGACACGGUCCAGACUCCUACGGGAGGCAGCAGUAGGGAAUCUUCCGCAAUGGGCGAAAGCCUGACGGAGCAACGCCGCGUGAGUGAUGAAGGUCUUCGGAUCGUAAAACUCUGUUAUUAGGGAAGAACAUAUGUGUAAGUAACUGUGCACAUCUUGACGGUACCUAAUCAGAAAGCCACGGCUAACUACGUGCCAGCAGCCGCGGU